CAGUCGCCGCGGGAAUACGGAGGGCGCGAGCGUUACCCGGAUUUACUGGGCGUAAAGGGCGUGUAGGCGGCCUGGGGCGUCCCAUGUGAAAGGCCACGGCUCAACCGUGGAGGAGCGUGGGAUACGCUCAGGCUAGAGGGUGGGAGAGGGUGGUGGAAUUCCCGGAGUAGCGGUAAAAUGCGCAGAUACCGGGAGGAACGCCGAUGGCGAAGGCAGCCACCUGGUCCACUUCUGACGCUGAGGCGCGAAAGCGUGGGGAGCAAACCGGAUUAGAUACCCCUGUAGUCCCUGUCUCUUAUAC
rnacentral:rRNA from 1 species